rnacentral:rRNA from 1 species
CACUCCUUUAUCUCAGGCCAGCAUCAGUUUGAGAGGUUGGAUAAAGUCAUUGGGAACGUAUCUCCUCGGAGUGUUAUAGCCCUUUGCACAAUACAACCAUCUCGGACUGAGGACAGCGUUCGCUAGGAUGCUGGCGUAAUGGAAGUCAACGACCCGUCUUGAAACACGGACCAAGGAGUC